rnacentral:rRNA from 1 species
AUUGAACGCUGGCGGCGUGCUUAACACAUGCAAGUCGAUCGGUAACAGGUGUAGCAAUACAUGCUGACGAGAGGCGGACGGGUGAGGAAUAUUUGGGAAUCUGCCCAUCAGCGGGGGACAACCCGGGGAAACCCGGGCUAAUACCGCAUACGCUCUACGGAGGAAAGCCGGGGACCGCAAGGCCUGGCACUGAUGGAUGGGCCCAAAUCGGAUUAGCUAGUUGGCGGGGUAACGGCCCACCAAGGCGACGAUCCGUAGCUGGUCUGAGAGGACGAUCAGCCACACCGGAACUGAGACACGGUCCGGACUCCUACGGGAGGCAGCAGUGGGAAAUAUUGGACAAUGGGGGAAACCCUGAUCCAGCGACGCCGCGUGGGUGAAGAAGGCCUGCGGGUUGUAAAGCCCUUUCGGUAGGGACGAAAGCUCUUGCUCUAAUAAUGCAAGAGGUUGACUUAACCUACAUAAGAAGCACCGGCUAACUCUGUGCCAGCCGCCGCGGUAA